AUUGAACGCUGGCGGCAUGCUUUACACAUGCAAGUCGAACGGUAACAGCACUUCGGUGGCUGACGAGUGGCGAACGGGUGAGUAAUACAUAGGAACGUGCCUAGUAGUGGGGGAUAACUACUCGAAAGAGUAGCUAAUACCGCAUGAGAUCUAAGGAUGAAAGCAGGGGACCUUCGGGCCUUGCGCUACUAGAGCGGCUGAUGGCAGAUUAGGUAGUUGGUGGGAUAAAAGCUUACCAAGCCGACGAUCUGUAGCUGGUCUGAGAGGACGACCAGCCACACUGGGACUGAGACACGGCCCAGACUCCUACGGGAGGCAGCAGUGGGGAAUUUUGGACAAUGGGCGCAAGCCUGAUCCAGCAAUGCCGCGUGCAGGAUGAAGGCCUUCGGGUUGUAAACUGCUUUUGUACGGAACGAAAAGCCCUCUUCUAAUACAGGAGGGUCAUGACGGUACCGUAAGAAUAAGCACCGGCUAACUACGUG
rnacentral:rRNA from 1 species